rnacentral:rRNA from 1 species
CCUACGGGUGGCAGCAGUGGGGAAUAUUGCACAAUGGGCGCAAGCCUGAUGCAGCCAUGCCGCGUGUGUGAAGAAGGCCUUCGGGUUGUAAAGCACUUUCAGCGGGGAGGAAGGCGGUGAGGUUAAUAACCUCAUCGAUUGACGUUACCCGCAGAAGAAGCACCGGCUAACUCCGUGCCAGCAGCCGCGGUAAUACGGAGGGUGCAGGCGCUAAUCGGAAUUACUGGGCGUAAAGCGCACGCAGGCGGUCUGUCAAGUCGGAUGUGAAAUCCCCGGGCUCAACCUGGGAACUGCAUUCGAAACUGGCAGGCUAGAGUCUUGUAGAGGGGGGUAGAAUUCCAGGUGUAGCGGUGAAAUGCGUAGAGAUCUGGAGGAAUACCGGUGGCGAAGGCGGCCCCCUGGACAAAGACUGACGCUCAGGUGCGAAAGCGUGGGGAGCAAACAGGAUUAGAUACCCUGGUAGUC